rnacentral:rRNA from 1 species
UACGUAGGGGGCGAGCGUUAUCCGGAUUCAUUGGGCGUAAAGCGCGCGUAGGCGGCCCGGCAGGCCGGGGGUCGAAGCGGGGGGCUCAACCCCCCGAAGCCCCCGGAACCUCCGCGGCUUGGGUCCGGUAGGGGAGGGUGGAACACCCGGUGUAGCGGUGGAAUGCGCAGAUAUCGGGUGGAACACCGGUGGCGAAGGCGGCCCUCUGGGCCGAGACCGACGCUGAGGCGCGAAAGCUGGGGGAGCGAACAGGAUUAGAUACCCGUGUAGUGACUGACU